AUGAAAGCUCAGCCUUUUAUGACUCUACUAAUAACUUUCUCAUUUAACAAUCAUGUCCUUCCAUUUGUCACAGGGGCGUGGUCACACAGUAUCGUUCUAGAAGACUCCACGAAAAUCAGAAUUAAUUCAUCCUCGGAAAAGGAAAGGGGAAAACCCAUUCUUCUCCAAUUACUCCAAUUCCAAUGUAAUUGGAGUCUUAGAGGACAAAUCUCAGAGUGUAUUCUGAGGCAUAAAAACGGACCAACAGGACGUACCAGCUUACAGCAUGAAUGUCAACAGCCACAGGAAUGGCCACUCUCAACCGUGUGGAAAUUGCCAUUGCCACGGGCUUCAGGACGAGCUGGGUGGGUCCCUGUGGCCUCAUACAGAGCGACACCACUCGCGUAGACGAAUGACUACCAGCCUCCUCAGCCACAGCCUGGUGUCCUGCCACGGUCUCCCUCGGGGCUCUCCCCUCUUCGGCAUGCUCCUCCUAGAACAUUGCUGUUGUCGUUAAUUACAACACAGGAGAAGCCAGAAGACUGUCAAGCUCCUCACUUCUCAGCGUGGGUGCCCAGGCUCAGCCCCACUCGGGCUUGCAGAGCACCUUCACUGGAGCCCAAGACCUCCCCUAAUUGGCUGUACAAAUUUACAUGUGAUCUGAAUCAAAAAUAGAUGCGUGCAAUGCAAGUCCUUGCCUGGGCUCGCUUUGUAUAGCACCCAGAACGGUGUCUUACUCAUAGGGGUGCUUAAUAAGCACCAUUUCAGAAGAACCUUCCUUGUCAGUUGUCAUCUUUGACAACAAAAGCCCUUGGUUGUUCAGCUUCCUUCUUACCCAAAAAUACAGAGCCGGCUAAGGUGACAUUCCAGAACUUUGUGUGCUCACUGCCCACCUCGGACCUCCCUUUGAGAGUCCUAGUGUAAUUACAAGCUCACGUCUGCCUCCUUUAGAAAAAUUUAGGAAGAGAAAUUUAGGCAGAGUCCAGAAUCAUUCUGGAAAUCGUCUCCCUCCUCCAUCCCCAGCCCUUUUUCAUCCUGUGCAGUGGUGGUGGUGGUGGGGGGGGGGACCCAGGGCGUGUGUAGGGCCACCAAGCACUUCACUGUAUUCAUUGCAAAGGGCUUGAUCCAAUCACAGGCUGAGGAAGAACUCCUGGGGAGAUGAAUGCCAUUACAAAUCUUGCCCUCGACAUGAAACGCCAGUGAUUGUUUAUUAAAUUGCUCUUCAAAGAGAAAACACUGGCAGGCAAAUAUCAUUAAAACGGAAGCAAAGGGAAAUGCCGUAACCUUCAACAUGGCGCUUUUCUCCAUUACCCUCAGACCACUACGACUGGAAUGGCCAGUAGGAACUUCUGGCCCUGAGCCCCAUCAGUUACCUUCAUCUCAGCCCAGGGAGGGGUAACACAAACCACCCAGUUUUAGUACUUCCAAAUACCGCCAUGAGAAAAAACGACCCCCCAAACCCUUAACCUAAGUCCACUGUCUCAACUGCAGUGGAAGACAAAUUGUAUCAUACAUGAGUAACAUUAAAACAUAAAAGACAUACCCUCCAGUGAAAACCUUGCACAACUUUACCGAGUAAGCAGAAUUAAUCAUAGGGAACAAUUACCAUUCCUGGUCUGAAUAUUUAUGACAUAACAGAAAGCCCAUUUAAAAUACUUAGUAGCUCGUAAUUUUAAAAAGAGCCACAGGGAGAGGGGGAGCCAUGCUAAGUGUAUGAUGAAAAGGGGCAGGGGAGGACAGCUUCUUUCUUAAUCCUCCUCUCCUGUUGGUGCUCCCCACACAUCCUUCUCCCUCCUCCCCUCCUGUAUCCUCAUACCUUUUGUCAUCACCUUUGAUAAUGGCCUGCUGGACAGCAAUGGAAAGAUGGGACACAUGCUAACAGCCUCUGUCCCCACCAGUUCCUUAUCCGUUCCAGGUGUCUCCACCGUCCUCCCAUCUACCCACUCUCCAGUGGCCGUGUAGCAGGUAUCUGCAUGUUGAAAUGGAAAUGACACUGGACGAGGAGUCAUUGCUCUGGCUCUAUCACAAACCUCUGUGAUCCUAGACAUGACCCACAACUGCGGAUCUAUAAGGCUUUGGACUGGAAAACUCUAGGUUUCCUUUUGCUUCUAUGGACAUAUGAGUUCUUUGAUUCAAGUAAUUUCUAAAUAAAUGGAUUCAUUCACUCA
rnacentral:lncRNA from 1 species